rnacentral:rRNA from 1 species
ACGGAAGGCAGCAGUGGGGAAUAUUGCGCAAUGGGGGAAACCCUGACGCAGCAACGCCGCGUGAUUGAAGAAGGUCUUCGGAUUGUAAAAAUCUUUUAUCAAGGACGAAGAAGUGACGGUACUUGAUGAAUAAGCUCCGGCUAACUACGUGCCAGCAGCCGCGGUAAUACGUAGGGAGCAAGCGUUAUCCGGAUUUACUGGGUGUAAAGGGCGAGUAGGCGGAUUGGCAAGUUGGGAGUGAAAUGUCGGGGCUUAACCCCGGAACUGCUUCCAAAACUGUUGAUCUUGAGUGAUGGAGAGGCAGGCGGAAUUCCCAGUGUAGCGGUGAAAUGCGUAGAUAUUGGGAGGAACACCAGUGGCGAAGGCGGCCUGCUGGACAUUAACUGACGCUGAGGAGCGAAAGCGUGGGGAGCAAACAGGAUUAGAUACCCUGGUA